rnacentral:rRNA from 1 species
CAUGAAGCUGGAAUCGCUAGUAAUCGCAGGUCAGCAUACUGCGGUGAAUACGUUCCCGGGGUCUUGUACACACCGCCCGUCACACCAUGGGAGCCGGAAAUGCCCGAAGCCAGUGACCCAACCUUAGGGAGGGAGCUGUCGAAGGUGGAGCCGGUAACUGGGGUGAAGUCGUAACAAGGUACC